rnacentral:lncRNA from 1 species
CACUGCGUCCAGGGAAGCAGGGAGCACAAGAUGUAUGGAAGGUGAGAGCAAGAGAAGAAUAAGAGGACCUUUACCCUAGAAAGCGCAAAACACUGUUGCCAACUAAUCUCUGAUGGUCAGACAGCUCCUGGAAUGAUUGCAACGGUGGCUUUGCUGAAUGGCUGUCCUUAGUGCCCCGCUUUGCUGCCCCUUCUGGGGAGGGGGUCUGCAGAGCUGAAAAGUGGCAAGAGGCUGGCUGCAAACUGCCUCCAGGAGCAAACCGCCCCAGCGGAGCUCAGCGAAAGCCACAGCCAAGACUGGAGGUGGAAGAAGUGAAAGGUGAACGCUCUAGUUUGCAGCAUCCGUCACAGGUCCCAGCACAAGCCCCAGGAGAUAUGUUUCCUGGCACCGCAGGGGAUAGAAAAGCACACACUGCUCUCCUUUGAAGAGAGUUAGAGCUUGCUUCGGCUGACCAGAGAGCGGGCGUGCAGCCAGCUGGGAAGGGAGCUCGCUUUGGGACUGGGAGCAACAAUGGGAAAGGGGAGCCAGGCUGUGGGCUCUGGACAAUAGGCUCCUCAGCUGCAGUUUCACAU